ACUCAAAACACACAAUUGUGUGUGUUCUGUAGUUCGAUCAAAACCACAGGAACAGAGUUCCUCAUCUCAAACCCUAAUUCCCUCAAAUACUACCCAAAAAUCAAAGAAGGAAUUAAGUAGGAAUCGAUUUCAAGCUAAAUUCGUGAUCAUUACACUUAGGGGAUCACAAGGCAAUUUGGGUGGAAACUCAAGUAAUCAAGGAAGAUUAGAUACCCGUUUGAAAGGAAAGCGUUAAAGGUAAUCCUAGCAACUUGCUGAUGAAGAUCAAGCUUGUUAGAGGAUCAAACACGCACACAUGAUGAAGCUUCCACUAAAUUAAUCGUGUCUUUUGGGUCACUAAACUUAUGUUUAAUAAGUAUAACUAUCUUUGUGAUGUUUAACUUAUGUAAAUACUGUUUAAAGGUUUCGAAAGUUAAGUAUGUGUAGUUAUGACAACAAGAUUUAAAUCUUUAAUAAAAGUCUUUUGAAGGUUUGAACUUUA